UGGAUCCCGCCGCCGGGUGGGCCAAUGCGUUUUUUCUGCAUCGUUAGGCCAUUGAAGAUGCAGAGGGAGCGCUAUUUUUGUU
rnacentral:ncRNA from 1 species